UAUUCCCUGCACUGUUGGUGAUCUUCAGUGUGUGUUGAGCCAACUGUUAAAAAAAAAGGGUACUUCCACUGACCAUGAAUGGAGAAUCGCAUCGACGAAUUUCCUGCAAUUUUCAAGAAGCUGCCCACCUAUGAAAAUAGGUUUAACUUUCCUGGUGACACGGCAGUGUGGGGAUUAU
rnacentral:other from 1 species